rnacentral:rRNA from 1 species
CUAAUACCGCAUACGAUCUAUGGAUGAAAGCGGGGGAUCGCAAGACCUCGCGCGAUUGGAGCGGCCGAUAUCAGAUUAGGUAGUUGGUGGGGUAAAGGCCCACCAAGCCAACGAUCUGUAGCUGGUCUGAGAGGACGACCAGCCACACUGGAACUGAGACACGGUCCAGACUCCUACGGGAGGCAGCAGUGGGGAAUUUUGGACAAUGGGCGCAAGCCUGAUCCAGCCAUUCCGCGUGCAGGAUGAAGGCCCUCGGGUUGUAAACUGCUUUUGUACAGAACGAAAAGGUUUCUACUAAUACUAGGAGCUCAUGACGGUACUGUAAGAAUAAGCACCGGCUAACUACGUGCCAGCAGCCGCGGUAAUACGUAGGGUGCAAGCGUUAAUCGGAAUUACUGGGCGUAAAGCGUGCGCAGGCGGUUAUAUAAGUCAGAUGUGAAAUCCCCGGGCUCAACCUGGGAACUGCAUUUGAGACUGUAUAGCUAGAGUACGGCAGAGGGGGAUGGAAUUCCGCGUGUAGCAGUGAAAUGCGUAGAUAUGCGGAGGAACACCGAUGGCGAAGGCAAUCCCCUGGGCCUGUACUGACGCUCAUGCACGAAAGCGUGGGGAGCAAACAGGAUUAGAUACCCUGGUAGUCCACGCCCUAAACGAUGUCAACUGGUUGUUGGGUCUUAACUGACUCAGUAACGAAGCUAACGCGUGAAGUGACCGCC